CUUGCAUUGCAGUAUUUUAAUAUAGUUUCAUUCCCCAAAUUUCUGUAUGUGACUACUUUAAUCCUAAAUGUUUUUUGACAAUAACUAUGUUUCAUAUUUUUACAGAUUGUGAUGAUAAUGAUGAUAUAUUGAUGGAGGUUGCCUUGGAAGAAGAUUGGUUUGAUUUUAAAACUGGGGGAAGAAACCUCUGUUGGAAGAAAAAUCCAGUCCGGUUCCAAUCCGGGAGAAAGGAGAUUUCUCUCUCCAAAUGAAGAGCAGAGGUUGGGUGACGCACACACAGCUGCCUGCUCUGAAUAAUAAGGCCUAUCCAAAAGUCCACGAGGCGACUCAGCAGUUGCGUUUCUGAAGUGAGUAAUAGGUUGAAAUCUCAGACAUUCUGAUUCCAAGUCAUUUCUCCACAUCCUGCCUUCUUCUGCCCACAUCAUUUAUUGAAACAGUAUUAAUCUCAGAUUUAGGCACUGGGUCUUGAAAAAUAGAUUGUAUUUAACUAUAGAAAUAUUGUAGCUUUUAAAGUAGAAGAUUAUUUACAUUUGAUAAUUUAUUAUAUGGUAGAUUAAAUUAAGAGAAGAACAUUUUAUGAAUCUUGGCUUUUUUUAGUGUGUUGCCUAGUAGCGUUUUAAAUUUUAUAGAUUGGUGUUAUUUGUUAAAACUUAUGUUUAUAUUGUUAAUAUUUAAAAGAAGUACUAAAAGAAAGUUGGAGGUCAUUUAUAUUAUAUUUGUUUGAUGCAUAUUUUUGAUCACUUUUAAUUGGCUUUGUUAGUCUCUUUCCCUUUCCAUGUUAAUGUGUAGUUUGUAUUUUAAUGUUUAAUGUUGGAAUCUAAUAAAAAUAUUAGAAAAA